AUUGAACGCUGGCGGAAUGCUUUACACAUGCAAGUCGAACGGCAGCACGGGGGCAACCCUGGUGGCGAGUGGCGAACGGGUGAGUAAUGCAUCGGAACGUACCCAAUCGUGGGGGAUAACGUGGCGAAAGUCACGCUAAUACCGCAUACGUCCUGAGGGAGAAAGCAGGGGAUCGCAAGACCUUGCGCGAUUGGAGCGGCCGAUGUCUGAUUAGCUAGUUGGUGGGGUAAAAGCCUACCAAGGCGACGAUCAGUAGCUGGUCUGAGAGGAUGAUCAGCCACACUGGGACUGAGACACGGCCCAGACUCCUACGGGAGGCAGCAGUGGGGAAUUUUGGACAAUGGGCGAAAGCCUGAUCCAGCCAUUCCGCGUGAGUGAAGAAGGCCUCGG
rnacentral:rRNA from 1 species